CAGAACCUGAUUCUGAUAGAUUUUGGAAGCCUAACCAUACAGCAACACACUAUCCCACAGUCGUACAGAUAGGGAAACCUGAGGAAUCACAAACUGAAGUAAGUGCUACACAUGGUACAGAACUAUGUGGAGAAUGGUUUCAUUGCAACGAUUCAAGGAGCUUUAAUUAGAUUUUAAACUGUAUUCAUAUUGGCACCUAUAAAAAUAGCACUUAAAGUAUAAUUUAACUGAAAUUUAUUAUCAGAUAUACUUAAGAAUACUCUAAAUCGCUCACUGCAGUUUAGAUUGUAAACUCAGGGGCUGUUCUUUUUAUUCAAAAUUGUUUUACAUGACUGUUUGCCUGUUAGCAAAUACAUGGAUAACUUUGAAAGUUAAUUCCUGAGUGUAUAAGCAUACAUAAAAUGAGCAUGCAUAGAGGAAUAAAAUUUAAAAUUACAGUGGCUGUUACUUUUUUUUUUUUUUAAACUGGAAUGCCUUUAAUUUUGUCUUUCUUGUUCUCACAAGAUGCUUAGAAUGAUGCGAGUCUCUCAUUAUUGGCAUGUGCACACAUUCACCAGCCCCUCAAAACAACCAGCCUUCUACCAACAGAAAAUGAUGGCCUAAGUUCUCAGCUAGACAAAGCUACUCCUUAAUUAACUUCAUGGUUAAUUGUGGCAUGACACUGCUACAUUCUAGAAGUUAAGCACAAUGAACCCUCACCAGUCCAUCCCAGAACAUGGUAGGCUGAAGUGGGGUGGAUUUUUCAAUAUUACAUAAAUACACAAUCACUGGUCUAGUGGUCAGAACAGAUUGAGGAGAUAAAAGUGUAUAUAAGGGUAUUUACUGUCCUUUAAAAUAGACUUUUCAUAGUAUUGAAAAAACACAGCAAACACUAAGGGAGUAUCUACCCCACAAUCAGAAGUGUGACUACAACAUGUGUGGACAUAUGCAAGCUAGUUUUGAUCUAUCUAGCUCAAAUAAGUGAAGCAAUGUCAGCACUAGUUGCACAACCCUGCCCAAGACCCAAGGUCUGAACUCCAGAUACCACAGGCUAUACAACUCCACCCUGGACUCUUGAGUAUACAAUGGAGAAAAUGAGGGUUCACUUCUCUUGUCAGCCAAGCUAGCUAGAUCAAAGCUAGAUUGGGUAUGUCUAAAAGGAAUGUUGCCACAUCUUUGAUUGCACUGACAAAAGCUAAUUAUAGUUCAUCCCAUACUGUCAGCAGUGUGGUCUAUGCCAGCUUCUCUCAAAUGUGGCCACAUCAAGAAAUUUCUGAAGCCACCACAGCCCCCUGGGUCAUUUUGCAAGGAAAAAAUGUUAGCUUUCUAAGUAUUAUCACAAGAGAACAGUAAUGAAGAAAGUACUGUGUGCGUACAGAUAAAGUAAUAUACUAUUUAGAUCUCAGAUGAAGAGAAAUCUACUGUCAGCAGAGUUAACAUCUCAAACACAGCUAGAGUAAGUACAGCUAUAUGAUCAAAAUUUUCAAAAAUAAGCCUAAAUUGAGGCUCUUAAAUCCAUAUUUAAGCACCGAUUAGAGGGAUUGCCAAAAGUUCCUAUAUUUGAAAACUUUGGCCAUUACUUUUCAAGGGACAGAGGGAUCAUUUUUAUAGCAUAAUGAAUGCUAAGCCAAAGAUGGACUCUUUUCGUAGCAACCAAAAUGUAGUAGGGAAGAACAGAGGAAGUUGUUCACUCACAGCCUUCAUUUGUUAAAGUGGUAUACAGUAAUUAUAGUCACACGUGGAAAAAAAACUAGCUAAGACACCUACUUUCUGAGCUAAUUUGUAGUUAGAUUCUUUCUUUAGUGACAAAAGUAAAUUUAAAUUUACUACUAUAAGUACUGCACAGUCAAAAAGCUAUGGGAAAAUACUAGACAUUCUUCUUAAACAGAGGCAAAGUUCAACAUGCUAUCAUCACUCCUGAUAUUUGCAUAGGUGGAGUAGGAAUCAUAGCCUCACUUUGUUCAGGUCAAAUGUGUGAUGUAAGCUUCAGAAAUUUCCAACUGGUAUUUGAGCUAUUCAGAGUGGGGGAUGGAGGAAGGGAGGAAAAAAAUAAAGUGCUAAAAUAGAAACUGUUUGUUUCUAUUCAUGUAUUACACGUGGACAGUAGUAAUAACCACAAUGUAUAUAGAGAGCCUACCAUAUUGAAGUUCUGAUCCCUAUCUGGGGGCCUCUAGACACUACCACCAUAUUUUAAAAUAGUAAAAUAAUUGGUAUGUUUAAUUUAUAUUUAUAAGCUUAACUGGCACAAAAAGAGUAAGUCAUUCAUAUAAAUGAAUGAAAAAAAAUAAGCAAUUUCAAAACAAUUAUCCAAAGGCUAACACAGUAUACAUUGAAACACUCAUGGCUAUCCAUGAAAUAUAAUGCACUUUGUGGAAUAACACACAGCAGUGCCCCAAAAUUUGCAACACAUGAACUUUAUGGCUAUGGCAUUCCAUGCCUGGAUACCCAGGGAAAAAUAUACAUCAAAUAAGAAACCCAAAUUAAAGCAAUAAGUGGUAACAUCUCAUUUGGACAAUGAGGUAUUGCAUUCCCACUGAGGAGGGCUUGUCAGAAUUUUUCCUAACAAUGUUUGCUAUUGGGAACUGCUAAUCCGCAGAAAGCAAAACAUGGUAUGGAAACAUGCUGUUUUUGACUCAUCUUCCAAAGGCAGUGUUCAAAGCUUGCCUGCAACCUUGCCUGCCCAACUCCUCAGCAGCCCACCAAAAUGACUGAUGCGGAGUUGGGAGCCCAGUUGAGAACCCAACUCCUGCAGCCUAUGAAUCCAGCUGUUUUGAAAGUUAAGCAGCUUAGGAAGUGAGGCUGGAAGAUCUGGGGUCACCAGGCUAUUCUGAAGCCAAAGACCCUGGAAAUCCUGGCACCUCUGACUGCAAAUGAUAUACCAUUCUGGCCAGACACAAAAUGGCUAAGGAAAUAUCUUUUAUUGGCUCAGAUUCUUUUGGUGUAAAAGAUACACUUUCGAACUUCACAGAGCAGUCUUCAGAAUUUGUCUAAUAUCCUGAGAACAAUAUGGCUGCAACAAUGGAAAUAAUUCUUGACAGUUUCACUGCGGCUAUUCAAGUCAGGAGCUGCUAGUGAAUCCGAGGAACAUGCAAUUUUUUGCUUCAUUACUUUCAAAAUAAAAAUGUUAUCAAAACUUCAUUUCACAGAAAAUUCUGAAAAUAUGUUUCCAUUCUGAAUCAGAACAGAAACAAAUUUCAAAUUGGUGACAUUUCUCUGAAAUGGAAAUUCUGACCAUCUAUCACCCUGAAUGCUAGAGAAGUAUGAAUAUCUAUUGUAUAUAUUUGAGAGAAUUUGUCUGUCCAUUUGUUCCUGAACUCCUAACCGUGAGACCUGGACCACCAAAUUCAGCACAGUUUCCGGUUAUCAUAACUUAAAGCAAGACUCCUGAAACCUGCUUGCAGCCCCCCUGGAUGCCUGGACCCCUGGUUGAGAAUCAUUGGCCUAACAUAUAGCACCCAGGUCUUCACAAUUGGACACUGUCAUGAACAGGAGGAGUGCUGACCAGAACCUGAUGACUAAGGAGUUAACUCAGAGUUAAACCAGGAGUUGAGAGAAAGAAUGAUUUAAACCCAGGCAGGACUACAAGACUGCCCCCCAUCCCUUCACGGAAUUCAGGACAUGGGAGUGGACUGAACAAAGAGAAAAUUCGGAUGACCAAAAUGGGCAAGAGGAGAAGGAGCACAAUGGCAUGACCACCUUCAUCAGCUCUGGCUACCUGACAAAUAUCACAGUGAUGUGAAACGGCUUCCUCCACCUCCCCUUUGUAUGCUCUCUUCCUUCCCCACCUUAAUGACUGCAUACCCCUUCCUAUCUUUUUCCCUUCUGUCUAAUACAAGUUUGGCUUAGCCAGCCAAUACAGCAUAUUUUGCAAAAUUGCUGUCAACUUGUGACUAGGAUUGUGUUAGUGGGAAUUUAUUGCUGUUAAGAAAUGCACUGAAACAAAAUGGAGACUGAAUCUAAAAGAACAAUCCAAAAUGGAGUUGUGGUGCAUGAUGGGACUUUAAAAUGGAACCCAACAGACUGUGAGGACUUUUGCCGCCAGAAACACCCUUUGCACACGGCACGUGUUCAUGCACACCACACCAGUCGUCUGCACCCAGCACCACGUGUUUGCGCACAGCAGCACGCCUUGCUUUGCAUUCAAGACCAUUGAAGUUUCCCGCCUUGGAUUCUAGAAAACCAAGAAGUCUGAGGAGAUCUGGUCCGCAGUUUCUCACUACACCUGGAGAAGGAGUCGUGUCACAGAGGAGACUGUGGUGAAGGCCCAGUCUAACCUGCCUGGUUCUACUCCUGCCGCCCUCAGGGUGCUUCGGCCCACACUGUGGUGAAAGCCCAGUAUCAUGAGCCCUAGCUACCUGAUAGCCGACCCAACAUCAUUGGGACCGCAUAGAGCCUCCAGCAUCAGCUGUGGUGAAGGCCCUCCUGGUGUUCAACAUUGCUCUUCGGUUACAUCCCGAAUCUGUCAGCUGUGCAAGCAGAGGCUGACAUCAUCAAGCGUCUCUACUUCACCAAGGACACCUCAGUGCUCCUCCCCGACAGCUACCUCAGCUAAAGGGUUGCAGGUCCUGAACAUCAGCUGCCUCUGACAGACUGAGUAUAACAUCAAUUAUAUCGUACCUGUCUUAUUUUCAGAGGGUGAGGGGUUGGUUAUUGAUUUAGUGUUAUGUUUAUUACCUGUUGUAUUCAAUACAGUUUUGCAUUUUUCAAACAUAAGAUCAGAGUCUGUGUUUAUUAACAUCUGAGAGAUCUGCUGGUGAUAGAUACAGUGGGUUCCAGGCCGGAUCUCCUUCUGGGACAAAGGCAUUUAUCACCUAGUCAGCAGGCCCCAGUCUAAAUUGGUUUACUAGUGCGCCUUUGCUGGUAACAGUUGUCAGAUGGUUUAACAC